GAUGAAGAACGCAGCGAAAUGCGAUAACUAAUGUGAAUUGCAGAAUUCCGUGAAUCAUCGAGUCUUUGAACGCACAUUGCGCCCCCUGGUAUUCCGGGGGGCAUGCCUGUCCGAGCGUCAUUGCUGCCCAUCAAGCACGGCUUGUGUGUUGGGUCCCGUCCCCCUCUCCCGGGGGACGGACCCGAAAGGCAGCGGCGGCACCGCGUCCGGUCCUCGAGCGUAUGGGGCUUUGUCACCCGCUCUUGUAGGCCCGGCCGGCGCUUGCCGACACCCAACCAUUUUUUUCAGGUUGACCUCGGAUCAGGUAGGGAUACCCGCUGAACUUAAGCAUAUCAAUAGGCGGAGGA
rnacentral:misc_RNA from 1 species